rnacentral:rRNA from 1 species
UACGGGGGGGGCAAGCGUUGUUCGGAAUUACUGGGCGUAAAGGGCUCGUAGGUGGCCAACUAAGUCAGACGUGAAAUCCCUCGGCUUAACCGGAGAACUGCGUCUGAUACUGGAUGGCUUGAGUUCGGGAGAGGGAUGCGGAAUUCCAGGUGUAGCGGUGAAAUGCGUAGAUAUCUGGAGGAACACCGGUGGCGAAGGCGGCAUCCUGGACCGAUACUGACACUGAGGAGCGAAAGCCAGGGGAGCAAACGGG